rnacentral:rRNA from 1 species
UACGUAGGGUGCGAGCGUUAAUCGGAAUUACUGGGCGUAAAGCGUGCGCAGGCGGUUAUUCAAGACAGAUGGGAAAUCCCCGGGCUCAACCUGGGAACUGCAUUUGUGACUGCAUGGCUGGAGUGCGGCAGAGGGGGAUGGAAUUCCGCGUGUAGCAGUGAAAUGCGUAGAUAUGCGGAGGAACACCGAUGGCGAAGGCAGUCCCCUGGGCCUGUACUGACGCUCAUGCACGAAAGCGUGGGGAGCAAACAGG